rnacentral:rRNA from 1 species
AACGAACGCUGGCGGCAGGCCUAACACAUGCAAGUCGAGCGGACCCUUCGGUGUUAGCGGCGGACGGGUGAGUAACGCGUGGGAAUAUGCCCUUCUCUACGGCAUAGUCCUGGGAAACUGGGGGUAAUACCGUAUACGCCCUUUGGGUGAAAGAGUUAUCGGGGAAGGAUUAGCCCGCGUUGGAUUAGGUAGUUGGUGGGGUAAUGGCCUACCAAGCCGACGAUCCAUAGCUGGUUUGAGAGGAUGAUCAGCCACACUGGGACUGAGACACGGCCCAGACUCCUACGGGAGGCAGAAGUGGGGAAUCUUAGACAAUGGGGGCAACCCUGAUCUAGCCAUGCCGCGUGAGUGAUGAAGGCCUUAGGGUUGUAAAGCUCUUUCAGCUGGGAAGAUAAUGACGGUACCAGCAGAAGAAGCCCCGGCUAACUCCGUG